UACAGAGGUCCCAAGCGUUGUUCGGAUUCACUGGGCGUAAAGGGUGCGUAGGUGGUUAGGUAAGUCCGAUGUGAAAUCUCCAGGCUCAACCUGGAAAUGGCAUUGGAUACUAUCUAGCUUGAGGAGUGGAGGGGAGACUGGAAUUCCUGGUGUAGCGGUGAAAUGCGCAGAUAUCAGGAGGAACACCGGUGGCGAAGGCGGGUCUCUGGGCCGAUACUGACGCUGAGGAGCGAAAGCGUGGGGAGCGAACAGG
rnacentral:rRNA from 1 species